UGGGGAAUUUUGGACAAUGGGCGCAAGCCUGAUCCAGCCAUGCCGCGUGCGGGAAGAAGGCCUUCGGGUUGUAAACCGCUUUUGUCAGGGAAGAAAUCUUCUGAGUUAAUACCUCGGGAGGAUGACGGUACCUGAAGAAUAAGCACCGGCUAACUACGUGCCAGCAGCCGCGGUAAUACGUAGGGUGCAAGCGUUAAUCGGAAUUACUGGGCGUAAAGCGUGCGCAGGCGGUUUUGUAAGACAGAGGUGAAAUCCCCGGGCUCAACCUGGGAACUGCCUUUGUGACUGCAAGGCUUGAGUGCGGCAGAGGGGGAUGGAAUUCCGCGUGUAGCAGUGAAAUGCGUAGAUAUGCGGAGGAACACCGAUGGCGAAGGCAAUCCCCUGGGCCUGCACUGACGCUCAUGCACGAAAAGCGUGGGGAGCAAACAGGAUUAGAUACCCUGGUAGUCCACGCCCUAAACGAUGUCAACUGGUUGUUGGG
rnacentral:rRNA from 1 species